ACGUCUAAUGAACCGAACUCGUAGAUCACGUCAGAAUUCAGAGGUCGCGCCCCGGAGACUAGAAUUACCCCGAGCCACUAUCGGAUACCGUGGGACCUUGUGCUGUUUAUACGUGCGAGCCCCGCCCCCUUUGUUUCUGUUAGGUGUGGGUGGCAUAUCGAUCGCACGGGUAGAUCCAGGUAAACGCAGGUAGUGAUAGAAGUGCGUGGACAAACAAUUCUUCUCGAAGGGGGACUACCUUGGUCACAGAGUGAAACCUGGGAGUGCAGUGUGCUGUCCCGCGAUGCAUGUGGUUACCAUGACGAUGUUUAUAUUGCUGUGCUGUCUAGCUUUAUUGACACAGGGUAAGUUUGUGGUUCUCUAUGAUCAACUCACUUCGCCUGCAUGCGUUGUAUAUGAUUUACGAUUUAAGAUGUAUACCGAGAAAGGACGGAUCUCUCUUACCGAGAACGGGCGGAUCUCUCUUACCGAGGAUAGGCGGAUCUCUCUUACCGAGAACGGGCGGAUCUCUCUUACCGAGGAUGGGCGGAUCUCUCUUACUGAGAACAAGCGGCUCUCUCUUACUGAGAACAAGCGGCUCUCUCUUACCGAGGAUGGGCGGAUUUCUCUUACUGAAGAUGAGCGGAUCUCUCUUACGACUACGGACGGAUCUCUCUUACCGGGGAUGGGCGGAUUUCUCUUCCCGAGGACGAGCAGAUCUCUCUUACCGAGGACGGGUGGAUCUCUCUUACUGAGAACGAGCGGAUAUCUCUUACCGAGAAGGGGGGGGGGGGAUCUGUCUUACCGAGGAUGGACGAAACUCUCUUACCGAGAAAGGACGGAUCUCUCUUAUACCGAGGAUGGGCGGAUCUCUCUUACCGAGAACGAGCGGAUCUCUGUUACCGAGGACGGGCGGAUCUCUCUUGCCGGGGACGGGCGGAUCUCUCUUACUAAGAACGAGCGAAUCUCUGUUAUCGAGAAUGAGUGGAUCUACAUGUAUCUUACCGACUACGGGCGGAUCUCUCUUACUGAGACACGUGUUUUUCGGUGAAAGGCCCGAGGUGUUCCAGAUGACUUUCGAGUGUCCUCGGUCUCGGCGUAAGCUUUCGAGUGUCCUCGGUAUGAUGUGUAAUGUACUUGUUUAUAUAUAACUCUUUGGGACUAAU